AAUAUCAGUAACAGUGACUUCCUUGGAUGGAGAUAGAAGGUUGAGAAGGAAAGAUGAACAGGAUAGCCACUGUUACUUCACUGUCUGUUGUCUCUUCCUGUGAGGUGGGUCAAGUGGAGCACCCAGCCAAGUAGUCCUGGUGUACAGCAUUGCAAAAGCGGUGGCAAAUUUACCUUUGCUCAUUAUGGUGACUGCUGACUUUUUGCUGAAGCUACAACGUCCUAUGGCUUUUAUUGUGAUCCCACUUUUCCGUGGAUUCUACAGACAAUUAGAGUUUCACAAUCAUUGUCGUCGAUACUUAAAGGACCAGGUCCAAGUCAGAUGUCUCUCCAUUCGUCUCCAGCUUCCAGCCACAAGAAGCAGGAUUUAGCUGUGUGUUCAAAGCCUCAUCCAAAUUUUGAAUGUAAUGGCAGAAAUGUAGAUUGACUGUUGGAUGACAACUAGAAAUCUGUGACAUAUACUAUGCCAGGCACACUGUUCUUUUCAAUAAAUGCUUUUAUAUCUAAAAAGUAAUCAAUGUGGGGGCUAUUAGAUCAUUUAGCAUCUCUCGUAUGCCUCUGAAGGAAAGUAUCUGUUACAAUGUUAGUUUAUAGAACAACGUUAUAAACACACUUUUAGUCAAUUGCAUCACCUGUUUUUGUAGAUGACUUUAAAAAACAUUCUUUAGUGAA